GACAGAGGGGGCUAGCGUUGCUCGGAAUUACUGGGCGUAAAGGGCGCGUAGGCGGGAUGGCAAGUCGGUCGUGAAAUCCCUCGGCUCAACUGAGGAUCGUCGAUCGAUACUGCCGUUCUUGAGGAUUGCAGAGGAGACUGGAAUUCCCGGUGUAGCGGUGAAAUGUGUAGAGAUCGGGAGGAACACCGGUGGCGAAGGCGGGUCUCUGGUCAAUUCCUGACGCUGAGGCGCGAAAGCGUGGGGAGCAAACGGG
rnacentral:rRNA from 1 species